GAUCCUGGCUCAGGACGAACGCUGGCGGCGUGCUUCAUACAUGCAAGUCGAACGCGAAUCGGUAGCUUGCUACCGAGGAAAGUGGCGGACGGGUGAGUAAUAUGUAGAGAAUCUGCCCUAGAGAGGGGGGACAACAGCUGGAAACGGUUGCUAAUACCCCAUAUGAGCGUACCUGAAAUGGUAUUCUUGAAAACUCCGGUGCUCUAGGAUGAGUCUGCAUCUGAUUAGCUAGG
rnacentral:rRNA from 1 species